rnacentral:rRNA from 1 species
UACGUAGGGGGCUAGCGUUGUCCGGAAUCAUUGGGCGUAAAGAGCGUGUAGGCGGCUCGAUAAGUCCGCUGUGAAAGUCCAGGGCUCAACCCUGGGAUGCCGGUGGAUACUGUCGGGCUCGAGUCCGGAAGAGGCGAGUGGAAUUCCUGGUGUAGCGGUGAAAUGCGCAGAUAUCAGGAGGAACACCAAUGGCGAAGGCGGCUCACUGGCCCGGUACUGACGCUGAGGUGCGAAAGCGUGGGGAGCAAACAGG